rnacentral:rRNA from 1 species
AACCGCCACCGUGGCGACGCGGCGGCGGGGUUGUAGGACCGCUCAAGGGCUGGUGCAAUGCGAGGAGAAGCGCAUGGAACGGCGCGCCGCAGCGGGUGAGAGCCCCGUAUCCGAAGCGGAGUACCACAGGAGCGGCACCUGAGUAAGCCGGGACACGAGGAAUCCCGGCCGAAUCCGCGGGGACCAUCCCGCAAGGCUAAAUACUACCGAGAGACCGAUAGCGAACCAGUACCGUGAGGGAAAGGUGAAAAGGACCCCGGAAGGGGAGUGAAAGAGACCCUGAAACCAUGCGCCUACAAGCGGUCGGAGCUCCGUUAGUGGAGUGACGGCGUGCCUUUUGCAUAAUGAGCCUGCGAGUUGCGGUCGCCGGCGAGGCUAAGUCACGCAGUGACGGAGCCGGAGCGAAAGCGAGUCCGAACAGGGCGCGUAGUCGGCGGCUGCAGACGCGAAACCGGGUGAUCUACGCAUGGGCAGGCUGAAGGCUGGGUAACACCAGCUGGAGGGCCGAACCGGUAAGCGUUGAAAAGCUUUCGGAUGACCUGUGCGUAGGAGUGAAAGGCCAAUCAAACCCGGAGAUAGCUCGUACUCCCCGAAAUGCAUUUAGGUGCAGCCUCGGGCCAGACCGACGGAGGUAGAGCGACCGAUAGGGUGCGAGGGCUUCGCCGCCUAUCAAGCCCUGACGAACUCCGAAUGCCGUCGGCCGGUGCCCGGGAGUGAGGGCGCGGGUGCUAAGGUCCGCGUCCGAGAGAGGAACAACUCAGACCACCGUCUAAGGCCCCCAAAUCCGGGCCGAGUUGAAGCCAAUAACGAGGUGGGACCGCACAGACAGUUAGGAUGUUGGCUUGGAAGCAGCCAUUCAUUCAAAGAGUGCGUAACAGCUCACUAAUCGAGCGGUCCCGCGUGGAUAAUAAUCGGGCAUAAGUCCGGUGCCGAAGACGUGGAAUCCGUCAAAUAGAUGGAUUGGUAGGGGAGCAUUCCGCCGCCGGCGAAGGCGGGCCGCGAGGCCUGCUGGAGGCGGCGGAAAAGCAAAUGCAGGCAUAAGUAACGACAAAGGGGGCGGGAAACCCCCUCGCCGGAAGGCCAAGGGUUCCUGAUCAACGCUAAUCGGAUCAGGGUAAGCCGGGACCUAAGCGGAAGCCGCGAGGCGUACGCGAUGGACAAACGGUGAAGAUUCCGUUGCCCCCGGCCUGUUAGCCCCGUCGAUGACGGAGGAGCGAAAGACGCGCGCGCUGACGGAACAGCGCGUUGAAGGGAGGUAGCCCCAGGGCGAGACCCGACAGUACGCGGAGGCUUCGGCCGAAGCGACAGCCGUACCGUAGCAUACUCCCGAGAAAAGUCGACGCGAGGCGUUCGAGCAGGCCGGGGCCCGUACCGCAAACCGACACAGGUGGCCGGGUAGAGCAUACCGAGGCGCUCGAGAGAUUCACGGUCAAGGAACUAGGCAAACUGGCCCCGUAACUUCGGGAGAAGGGGCCCUCGUGUAAGAAGCGAGGCGCAGAGAAUAAGUCCAGGCAACUGUUUAGCAAAAACACAGGGCUGUGCCAAGCCGCAAGGCGCCGCAUACAGCCUGACACCUGCCCGGUGCCGGAAGGUUAAGCGGAGCUGUCAUCGCAAGAGAAGCAGCGAAGUGAAGCCCCGGUAAACGGCGGCCGUAACUAUAACGGUCCUAAGGUAGCGAAAUUCCUUGUCGGGUAAGUUCCGACCUGCACGAAUGGUGUAAUGAUCCGGACACUGUCUCGACCGUGAGCUCGGUGAAAUUGUAGUAUCGGUGAAGAUGCCGAUUACCCGCAACGGGACGAAAAGACCCCGUGAACCUUUACUGCAGCUUAGCAUUGGGGCCGGGUGUGCGAUGUGUAGGAUAGUCCGGAGGCAGCGAGGCGGGGACGCCAGUUCCCGCGGAGCCGACGUUGAAAUACGGGCCUUCGCACAUUUGGCUUCUAACACGCGUCUAGCGUGGACAUUGCUUGGCGGGUAGUUUGACUGGGGUGGUCGCCUCCAAAAGCGUAACGGAGGCUCCUAAAGGUUCCCUCAGGCCGAUUGGCAACCGGCCGCAGAGCGCAAUGGCAUAAGGGAGCUUGACUGAGAGACCAACAAGUCGAACAGGAAGGAAACUUGAGCAUAGUGAUCCGGCGGUUCCGCAUGGAAGGGCCGUCGCUCAAAGGAUAAAAGGUACUCCGG